ACCCCAGUGGCCUAAUGGAUAAGGCAUUGGCCUGCUAAGCCAGGGGUUGUGGGUUCAAGUCCCAUCUAAGGUG